rnacentral:rRNA from 1 species
AUUUUUUUUAGUGUGAUCUUAGCUUUGAGUUAACGCUAAUUAAAUGCAUAACACAUGCAAAUUUUUUUUUAUUAAAUAGUUAUUUAAUAAAAAAGUGUAUAGGUGAAUAAUUUAUAAUAUUUUUUUUUACUUUAAUUAAAAUAAUUAUAUAUAUAUAUAUAUACAUUAAACACUUUAAAAGUUAAUAAAAAUUUAUAAGAGUGGAUAUUUUUAUUAUAAAACAUUAAGUAUUAAUUAAAUUAAUUAGCUAAAUAUGUUUAGUUGAGUUUAGCGAUAGAACAACCACAUAUAGGUAUGAAAACAACCUUAUCUAAAAAGACAGCAGUGAGGAAUUUUGGACAAUGUAUAUUUAUAUGAUCCAGCAAAUUAAUGGAAAUGAUGAAGAUAAAAAUAUUGUAAAGUUUACUCGUAAUAAUUUUAUUAAUAUUUAUUAUAAGAAGUUAUGGCUAAUACAUGUGCCAGCAGCCGCGGUAAUACAUGAGUAACAAGCGUUAUUCAUAUUUAUUAAGUGUAAAAUAUAUAUAAAUUAUAUUAAAUUAACAAAAUAUAUUUUUUUUAUUUAAUAAAAUAAUUUAAAUUUAAAAAUAAAAUUUAUUACUUAGCGAUUAAAUGCAUAAAGGUUAUAUAUUUUUCUAUAAAUUUUUAAUAUUUAAAUUUUAUACUAUAUAUGAAAGUAUAGGUAGCGAAUAGGAUUUGUGACCCUAGUAGUCUAUACUUUAAACUAAAGAAAAAAUUUACAUUAUUUUCUUACUUGGGUAGUACAAUCGCAAGAUUAAAACUUAACAGAAUUGGCGGGAAUUUGUUCUAACGGUGGAAUAUGUGGUUUAAUACGAUAAUCCACGUAAAACCUUACCAACAAAAAAAGUAUUAUUUAAAUUUAUUAAAAUUAAUAUUUUAUUUAAAUUUUUUAUAUUUAGGUAUUGCAUGGCUGUCGUCAGUUCGUGCCUUGAAGUAUAGAAUUAAGUUUUUUAACGAACGAAACCCUUAUAUUAAUAUAUAAUUAAGUUUUUAAUUAUUUAUUAAUAAGAAUUUUAUUUAACAGUAAAUAUAUAAUAUAUUUACUGUUAAUAAAGUACUUUAGGCUGAAGUCAAGUCAUUAUGGUCUAGAUAUGUUGGGCUACACACGUAUUACAAUAAUAAAUACAAAUAGUUUUCAUAAGAGAUUAGUAAAAAACCUUAAAAAAUUAUUUUAGUUCAGAUUGUUUUAUAAAAUUUAAAACAUGAAGUAGGAAUCGUUAGUAAUUGUAAAUUAGUAUGUUACAAUGAAAAUUAAGUCAAAUUUUGCACACACUGCCCAUCACGCUCGAAAAUAAAAUUUAGAAUAAAAUAAAAAUUAAAUUAAAUUUUAUAUUUUUUAUAAUUUUAAAGAUUAAAUUUGAGUGAAGUUGACACAAGGUACUGGUAGGGGAACCUGUUGGUGAAAUAUUUUAUUU